AGCGAUUGCCUAGACAAAUUGAAGAGCGGAAUGAAAAAUUAAAGAAAGAAAUGUUAGGCAAACUGAAGGAUCUUGGGAAUUUGGUUCUCCGCCCCUUUGGCCUGUCAACAGAAAAUUUCCAGAUAAAACAGGAUUCAUCAACUGGUUCCUACUCCAUCAAUUUUGUUCAAAAUCCAAACAACAAUAGAUAAUAGGAAUUCAGUCUAGUUCUGCUGGCUUUCAGGCUUCGUGACCGUGUGCUUGCACAUACCAAUAAAAGGAUUCAGCAAACAUUCUUCACGCUUCCCAAGUGAAGAUAAGACUCAAGCAUAUUCAUUUCCCUGCCUGUGAAAUUAUUUACAAUGUGGAUGUAAAGCAAGCCAUUUGACAGCUGUUAGUGAUAACUGUGUCCAGUGUUUGAUUUUUUUUUUUUAAAUAUUUUUUUUCUUCCCUUGUGGUGUUUAGCUUGUCCAACAGUCAGAUUCAUUAUUUUGGCCCAUUCAAUGCUGACAACAAAAUUCUAGCAAGCAGUUCAGUUGAAUCAAAAUGCCUACGCACCUGUAGCCAAGAACAAAGCCUAAUGGUGUCUUGGGGAAUUAAUGAAUCUAGCAGAAGCACUUCUCCACACUCAGCAGGUGGAUAUGACUGACAGCAUGCAUGGAAGCAAGCCAACCUCUUCUGUGGAAUAAUUUUUCUUUGUAAUAAAAGCUUAGUAUUUCUGUCGG